GAUGAACGCUGACAGAAUGCUUAACACAUGCAAGUCAACUUGAACUUCGGUUUGGGUGGCGGACGGGUGAGUAACGCGUAAAGAACUUGCCUCACAGCUAGGGACAACAUUUGGAAACGAAUGCUAAUACCUGAUAUUAUGAUUUUAGGGCAUCCUAGAAUUAUGAAAGCUAUAUGCGCUGUGAGAGAGCUUUGCGUCCCAUUAGCUAGUUGGAGAGGUAACGGCUCACCAAGGCGAUGAUGGGUAGCCGGCCUGAGAGGGUGAACGGCCACAAGGGGACUGAGACACGGCCCUUACUCCUACGGGAGGCAGCAGUGGGGAAUAUUGGACAAUGGACCAAGAGUCUGAUCCAGCAAUUCUGUGUGCACGAUGAAGUUUUUCGGAAUGUGAAGUGCUUUCAGUUGGGAAGAAAAAAAUGACGGUACCAACAGAAGAAGUGACGGCUAAAUACGUG
rnacentral:rRNA from 1 species